rnacentral:pre_miRNA from 1 species
AUUUUACUCCCUCCGUUCCAAAAUACUUGACUUUCAUUUGUCCAAAAAUGGAUGUACCUAUAUACUAAAACAUGUCUAGAUACAUCUAUAUUUUGACAAAUAGAAGGCAUGUAUUGUGGAACGGAGGGAGUAGGAG